AAUUGGGUGGAGCCAAGAUGGCCGAAUAGGAACAGCUCCGGUCUCCAGCUCCCAGCCCGAGCAACACAGAAGACUGGUGAUUUCUGCAUUUCUGUUUGAGGGAAUGAGUUACCACGAGAUCUGGUUGUUUAAAAGGAUGUAGCACCUCCCGCAUCUCUUUCUUCCUCCUGCUCCCACCAUAAAAGACGCCUGCUCCAGCUUUGCCUUCUGCCGGAGAGGAGAAGACAGACACCUGAGGGAGAAGGCCAUGUGGUGAUGGAGGCAGAGACUGAAGUGCUGCAGCUUCAAGUCAAGGAGUGCCAAGGAUUGCUGCAAACCACCAAAAGCAAGAAAGACACAAAGGAGGAUUCUAUCCUACAGAUUAGAGAGGAGAGUAUGGACCUGCUGACACCUUGAUUUUGAACUUUUAGACUCCAGAACUGUGAGAUAAUAAAUUUCCAUUGUUUUAAGCUACCCACUUUGUGGUACUUUGUUAUGCAGGCCUAGGAAACGAAUACAGAAAAAAAAGUCAUACCAUAUCUCAUCAAAUCUGAUACACCAUUGAUUGCAAGAUGCCCUGUUAUAUUAUACACCUUGAAGAGAUUUUAAAAAGCUGUCAAUUUGCUGAGAGCGGUGGCUUACACCUGUAAUCCCAGCACUUUGGGUGGCUGAGGCGGGUGGAUCAUGAGGUCAGGAGUUCGAGACCAGCCUGGCCAAUAUGGUGAAACCCCGUCUCUACCAAAAAUAUGAAAAUUGGCCAGGCAUGGUGGUGCAUGCCUGUAGUCCCAGCUACUUGGGAGCUACAGCAGAAGAAUCACUUGAACCCAGGAGGCAGAGGUUGCAGUGAGCCAAGAUCGUGCCACUGCACUCCAGCCUGGUCAACAGAGCGAGACUCUGUCUC